rnacentral:rRNA from 1 species
UAUGUGAUCGUCUCUCGCAUAUCAAUAAGCGGAGGAAAAGAAACUAACAAGGAAUCCCCUAGUAACGGCGAGUGAAGCGGGAAGAGCUCAAAUUUGAAAUCUUAAAGGGUUUCCCUUUACGAAUUGUAGUUUAAAGAAGUGUUUUCUGUUGAGGUUUUGGUAAAAGUUCUUUGGAAUAGGACAUCAUAGAGGGUGAGAAUCCCGUAUUUGACCUUUACUUUCAACUUUGUGAUACACUUUCAAAGAGUCGGAUUGUUUGGGAAUGCAGUCCAAAAUGGGUGGUAAAUUUCAUCUAAAGCUAAAUAUUGGCGAGAGACCGAUAGCGAACAAGUACCGUGAGGGAAAGAUGAAAAGAACUUUGAAAAGAGAGUUAAACAGUACGUGAAAGUUGUCAAAAGGGAAGCGUUUGACACCAGUGUUGUUUUUCUGAAAAUCAAUUAAAGAACUGUUUAUGCUAAGUUGCUUAGACUUUAUCAGCUAUCUGCUUUAGUUUUGAGCUUUUCUUUAAUGCACUUUUCAGUUAACAAGUCAACAUCAAUUUCUUUUGCUGUAAAAAAGCUUGAGGAAGGUGGCUUGAGAUUCGUCUUAAGUGUUUAUAGCCUCUUGCCUAUGCAGUCGGAGAGAUUGAGGUCUGCAGCGUAGAUCCUUCGGGGCUAAAUGCAUUUGUGCUAAGUUAUAGCAUUUUAUAGACAACUUGUUGACUAUGAUUUGUCUUGUAGCUUACUCGCUUAUGUUAUUUUACCUACGCUUAGGAUGUUGACGAGACUGUCGAUCUC